CCUACGGGCGGCUGCAGUGAGGAAUAUUGGGCAAUGGGCGAGAGCCUGAACCAGCCAAGUCGCGUGAAGGAUGAAGGAUCUAUGGUUUGUAAACUUCUUUUAUAUGGGAAUAAAGUGUGGAACGUGUUCCUUUUUGUAUGUACCAUAUGAAUAAGCAUCGGCUAACUCCGUGCCAGCAGCCGCGGUAAUACGGAGGAUGCGAGCGUUAUGCGGAUUUAUUGGGUUUAAAGGGUGCGUAGGUGGUUAAUUAAGUCAGCGGUGAAAGUUUGUGGCUCAACCAUAAAAUUGCCGUUGAUACUGGUUGACUUGAGUAUAUUUGAGGGAGGCGGAAUGCGUGGUGUAGCGGUGAAAUGCAUAGAGAUGACGCAGAACUCCGAUGGCGAAGGCAGCUUACUAAACUAUAACUGACACUGAAGCGCGAAAGCGUGGGGAGCAAACAGGAUUAGAUACCCUGGUAGUC
rnacentral:rRNA from 1 species